GUUCGAGAUAUCAGAACUGCUGGAGGAAUAGAUUUCAUUAAUUAUAAUGGCUUACAUAGCCUUGGUGCAUCAGAGGUAUCCACAGCAAGAACAUUCUGCACCAAAAACACAAGUGCAGCUGUCAUUAGACAUCUACCUAAUAGCAAAAAUAUCUGGAGCACAGUUGAAGCCAUCGUGAAUAUAUUAGCAGGAUCAAAACAAGUCAUCGUCUUUUCUAAACGGGACUGGGAGAACAUGAACGAGACCUUCUCGUAAGAACUGCUAUUUUCGUUUGUUUUUAAAAAAACU
rnacentral:lncRNA from 1 species